UGGUUGCACAUGCUUUUAACACAGCAC
rnacentral:piRNA from 1 species